rnacentral:lncRNA from 1 species
UCAACGCAGCGUUCUUAUCAAAGCCAUUUCGUCCGGUGCAGUGAUCAUCAUCGGUCUCAUCACAGCCGUCCAUCAUCAUCAUCUCCCUUACAUCCUCUUCUUUCCACCCUCCGUUCCUCAAUCUCCAAAACACCUCCUCCAAGCACCCCCCUAACUCCCCACUCCACCACCUGCGCGUGCCACCACGCGCCGCCAGCCUUUCCCCCCUCUCCACCAACUCCGACCAUACCUCGAUCCUCCUCGGCUCAGUCGCGGCCCAGGCCGGCGUGCUGAAUAAUUUGGACAAGGUGGGCCUUCUCAAGAUGUCCUCGUUCGUCGUGAAUUCCGCCUGCUGGAAGAAUCCGGCUAUAUCGAAACUCCACAGCUGAACAUUCCCUCCAUGCACGUAAAACACGGGAUUCCCCGCCAUACACGGCGUCGAAGGAACGUAGAAAUGCCGGUACACCGGAACAAGAAACGGCGCAUUUCUCAUGAAUCCUUUACCUAAAUUCACAGCUUGAUCAUCAUCUCCUGGCCUUUCACCCCAAGAAUCGAGCCACAAAUGGUUUCUUGAUAUUUCCUUGCAUACACCUGAGACGGGUAGACUGGUGAGGGCCUGAAGUUGUUGAACGGAGGAGGAUGAUCGCCAGUUGGGGAAGCCGGGGCCCACAGGGAGGCCUUCUUGGAGAAUAGAACGUAAAUCGGGGGGAAAUGUGAAAUUGAAGGUGGAUUCAAUGGAGGAUAAUUCGGCGUCGGUGAGGCCUUCUUCAAUGGGAAUAUCGGAGGAUUUUAGGUAAUGAAUGAGGUUCUUGGUGUAGGCUGCAAAUGAAAAACAAACCCGCAUGGGUUUUGGAUCGGUGACCGCCAUGGUUAAUGGGCUCAGCGGUGGUUCGACGAGUAGUGCUGCUGCCAUUGAAUACGAGUACUUGGGCUAAUAUUGAUUGACAACAACAACAACAACAGUUGCAGAUAACACGUGUUAUGGAGUAGAUAAUGCAUAUGGAAGCAAGCCAGUAAUGGUAAUUCAGAUUUGAGUUUCGUGUUUAUCCACACUGGCAGGCCGGGAUAGAGUAGUUAGAGCAUAUAAGGGAGGAAAAAGUGAGUGAGUUUUUACGGGAACUUUUGAUGCUCUAUUCUCACAACUCCUCUCAUCUGAUGUCGGGACUCUUGAGACUAUUUCAAAGUAACAAUGAACUGAAGCGAUUUGUUUUGGAAUUUUGAGGGCACAAAAAUGCAAAAUGGGGUCUCUGACUAAUCAUGGAAUUGAUACGUGAAGUCUUUGCUAACUUGGCAUGGUUGUAAUGCACAGUCCAAAUGUCACUUCUUCCUGAUGAUCCAAUAUUUUGUAGGAGAUUUGGAGUCUGGCUGAAGUGCUGAACCAUGCGUUGUCAAUCAAGUUGGGGUUCUCAAUUGUUCUUUCACAUAUUUCCUUGCUUAUGGUCAGAGAUGCGGCUUUACUAAUCAGUACGAGGGCGGCCGGCAGCCUAAUUCAGAUUUAUAAGAAGAAAUUUUGUGCUAGUAGUUUAUAUCGGGAAAUCAAAAGGUUCAGAAAAUUCUAGCCGUCCAACCAAUAGUAGGCUUAGUCGCUACAGAGAAAUAUCAGGAAUUGUUAAUUGGUAUCAGGUAAGCAACUAAUUUAUAGAAAAUGUAGUUGGCUUAUGAGAAAUUUUCAGUUGCAUAAAAAAAUCAACCUUAACAACAAGACAUUUGUUAUUUGUUUCACCAGCUGUUAUAAUACAAAUGUUCAAAUUUUAGGCACCGACCGCCCUUCUCGAUCACCUUCCCCUUCGUCCGCCCUCUCCUUGCUGUGAGGGAUCAAGACCAUAUUAGUGGUGGCAUACUGCUUUAUAACGUAAUCUUUUAUAUUUGGAGGAAAUAGAGAUAAAAAAAAAUGUUAUCAAGGAGAAUUGAUGCAAGUGCUUCUAUAUAUUUAUGCAGUCGUCGAUUAACUUAGAAGUAGCACCUAUUCUUGCGCAUUUCGUCAUUUAGCUUCACUUUGAAUAAGAAAAAUGAAAAGGCAGUCGAUAUUAAUUUGUUACAAUUCAAAUCUGAAUGCCAUGAGCAUUCCUACACCAUCCAUCUCCUCAAUUUUUUACUACUAUAUUUAACUUGACUUUAGAAACAUUUUAUGGUAAAUUACUGUGACGUUAGAACUUGAACUUUGAGAAUAGCACCAGCCAAAUAAAAGUCGUCCGAGACAUCUCAGCUUCUAUCACAUUUAUAAUUUCCUUCCAUCCAAAUGAAGAGAAUUUUCUUGUCAUCUGCUCCUUGUUGGAAUUACUAUGGAAGCAACUCAGAAUUGGAGAAAAGGAAUUCGCCUAAAAGGUUCCUAACCACCAUAAUCUUGUCGAUAGCUUGUCUAUUGCUUUGACCGUUUCUCCUCCUUCUUCUUCUUCUUCGUAUCCCCUUUUGCGCGACACGUUAUUUCUGAAAUUGGGAGUCUGUUUCUUUCUUUCUAGAUAAAUUGAGGACCGUGUUGAUAAUUACGUUUUGGCAAUCCUGAUACUUAACCUAUACAUAGAACCAUUUAUGUGCUCUUACUUUUCUAACAUUCUAUACAGAUCUCUUAAAGAGCCUGGAACACGGCUUUUUGACGAAUGACUCGAUGCUUGGGAUUUUUUUUAGGACACGGUGGAAUCUAUUUUAGACAUGCUCCUACUUUAUACUAGAGGGAAGGAAGGACCCGAAGAGAUCCGCUAGGACACGAUGGAAUCUAUUUUAGAUAUACUCCUACUUCAUACUAGAGGGAAGGAAGGACCUAAAGAUAUCCAAGAAGAACUUGGAGGGGACUAAUUACCGGCUCAAAUGGGUAUCUUCUCCGUUUGACAUGCGGCUGUGUUUACACGGAUGCUUACCUUCACAAGAUCGAGUUGCUAAUAAGGCACAAAACAUACAGGUUAAAUUUAAACUCAAUUCUAUCAGUAGUUCUUCAAAUGGAUGCAAAAUUUUCGCACAAGUAUGUCCAACAUUGUCAAAUUUCAAGGACCUUUCACUGGUCAAGCAUUAUCUUCUGCCCCCGAGCUCUUGUCAUUCUCCGGUUCUUGUUUUUUCAUCAUCAACUAAUUCAGCUUCCACAGUUUGAACAACCGAUCCAUCCUCUUUGUUCCCAAAGUUCCAGCCAACGACAGCUUUGCUUUCCUGUUCUAGAAUAUUCAUGUUGUUAUGGGAUAUUUGAGCUGUAAAAUCCAGCAAAUCUUUUCCACAUUCUUCAGGGGAGGUAGUUGAUGUCCAGAGCAAAUUUGCAUUACAGGUCAUCUCCACAAAGUUUCCAGAAGAAUUACUUUCUCCAGUCCUAUAAACAUUCUGAGAUGAAUUUGUAAAAGAAGUGGAGCCCCCAGUGUCAUAAUUCUUCAACUCAGGCUUGAUGGAAGCCUUGCUAAUUAGGACUGCAGAAUGAUGAUCGGAAAUGGUGUCGCAUAAUCCGCUGCUACAUGGAAUCUCAAGACUGCCACUAGAAUUGAUGAAAGGAAUUUUAACCUUUCCAUCGUUUGUAUACUGCACAGAAGGCUCAUUUUCCACUUUUUUUAAAAUCACUUUCUCAUAGUGUAGUUUUUCAGUCUGACAAAGAGUUUCAAGUAGUCCAGACUUCCUAUUCCAAAUUCGAGGGCAUGAAGUAUCUGUUGAUGGCAACCUUCCAUCUGGGGUUACCAGUUUCUCCAGCCUUCCUCUCUUUGAAGUCUUUGCACCUGAAGAAACCCCAGUUGCAGUAGUUGUUCCCUCUUUUACAACAGGUUUUAGGCACAAUACGUCUUCCUCAAGCUUUGUUAACCGGCCCUUACAAUCUGCCAGUUCAGAUUGCAACUCACCAACAAUCUUCCGUAGGUGAACAUUCUCCAAAGGCUGUUGCCCCAAACACCAAAGAGCAAAAGGAAAAAACAAACAAUGGCAUCAAGGUAACUUACACCACAGAGUAAAGAAUGGGCCACAAAGAAAUGUAUAUCCUAGUAUCUUACUUGAGCUUCCCAUGGUUGCUGGUGUAUCAGAGAGAGUUUUGCGGUUGGUCUCAUCGUACUUCCCUGGUUUGAUGUGGUGGAAGCCGAUGAAGAACCGGGUAUUGGUGGCUGAAUUGGAGAGAAAUAAGGACAGUGUCCAGGGAAGGCACUGCUAUGAGGAGGUAGUAGAUGUUGUGGAAGGCUCAACCAAGAUGAAGGAUCCCAAGGGCCUAUUAAAUAUUAACAAGUAAUAUCUUCUGCAUUAGUGGCACAUAUAGCACUACAUCAGAAUUAAUCAGCUAUGAAUGAUCAAAUUUAACUAUGUUUAUUCUUGAACUACUGUUAGAAUGUAUAUGGCAUAUUUGCAAAUAUGGCCGUUGAAAACAGCAAACAAUUAGUCAAAACACUCCUCAGUACUUCUUUGACACCUCAACAGACUUGAUCCCAAUACCACGACCUUCCAAGCCACAUUCUCUGGGUAAAUCAAAUUUGUUCUGGAGAACUUGUCAGAAACUUCCCACAAUGUCAAGCGUGAAACAGAUUGAUUGUGACAUUAUACCUGGAAAGCCUGGAUAUGGGUAGCCAACAUGGUAACAAUAGCUAGGACUCUGCUGCUGGCUUCUUAGAGUUGCUCCAUAACCAGGUCCGCCCCCGGUAAUGCCAGGCGUUCCUGCAGGAGGAGGGACAGGCUGAUAGAGAGCUGGCAGACUGGCACCCGGCAAAUGUUGACCAGGGAGCAGGGGAAUCCAGGAUGGCAUGUUGAGUUGUGUAAACGGGGGCAUUGGUUGUUCCUGUUGGAACUGCUGCAUAGUGCAAGUUUGUUGCUGAUUCUGCGGUUGAUGACACUGGCCUGGGAUGAGUGGUGGAGGCAACUGGUUGAGACUGCAGGAUUUUAGGAUCAAAGGGGACUUUUCACAAGCAGGUUGAGAUGAACAAGGAAAUUGGACCCCAUCUUCAGUAUGCUCCUUCGGGGAAGUUGCAUUUUCAAAGUGAAGAGCCGCCGACCGCUGUACUAUUAUUUUGAUUUUGAUGUUCAAUUAGCUGUUCAAGAAUGGAUUCAUUUAUCGGCGUAAAUAACACGAGGAAAUUAAGCAAUCAAGAGUACUAAUAAGUAGUUAUAUUCCUGUAGCAUUAAGGAUCUCAAUAAAAUUAAUUUCAAUGCCAUAAUGCAGGAGGACAGGCACAAAUCAAGUACUUUGACAGUGUCGAAAAAUGAUCUGCAAGAACUGCUGCUUGCUUGAAUAUUCUUUUAGAGGUAACCUUGAAGCACCAAAAGUAAGGGGAAUUGAUCAACUGGGAAAUUAGGGACCGGUACAAUUAUUUGCGGAGUAUUCUGGGGGAAAAAAAAUCAAAUCGGUCCUUCUAUCUCUCUCUCGUUAUCUGGGUACAACUCCCAACACAUGCAGCAAGAAACAAAACAUCAAGACGAAAAAAGAAAAAAGUGAAGAACCAAAAAAAACUUACUAAUGAUUUUUAAGUAUGUUGUGAAAAUAACGGGGAGCCCAGGAGUACUUUUUAGCAGGGAAACUUGCAUAUGAAAAAUCCACCAAAUAAUGGAGUGAGGAGAUGCAUUACCCGGUUCUCCAUUGAACCACUAGCAUCUGGAGAGGUAGAGUUUUCAUGUUUUUUCUUUUUAUUCUUCUAAUUCAUGGUUUUUUGCAAAGUGAUUAUUUCUUUCCCUACAUUUUGAGAAAGGGGAGCAAAGGUAUAAGUAAAGAGGGAGUAGAGCAGUGGCCUCCGCCGGUAAAAGCCUGCCGUACAAGUGUACAACAACAAGAGAAGUGGUGCGUUGGAAUUUUAAGCCCCAAAGCCAGAAACAAGGAAAACGUGCGUGGUGCGGGAGCCGGGGAAUUUCUACUUUUGGAGCACCAUUUUCUAAUUUCUACUCCAUUGCCGCCCUGCCGCAAAUUUGUCCUCUGUCUGGUCCAUCACAGCCGUUUUUUUUUUUUUUUUUUUGGGUAAUAAAAGAUUGCAUAAAUAAAAAUUUUAAGUCCGUACAUCACAUAUUUGUUUGGGAUGGAAGGACCCCUUAAAUCACCACACAAAAUAGUUCGUAGCUGAGGAGGACAGUUAUGAUAAGAGUGAAAAAGUCGACAAAAAGAUUUCCAUCCUCAAAUCAUCACAGCCGUUGCAUUUUGCAUCAUUUUGACCUUUCUUCCUCAGCUCAACUGCACGAAGAACGAAUGAGCAUUGUAUUUGACGAUAGCCAUCUUAUUUUACCGGUUAAAGAGUCAAAGAACAAAAAAUAAUAAUAAUAUAAUAAUAAAAGACAGAGCAAGGCAAACACUUGUCGAGUUUUAAAGGUGUUGAAGGCUUGUUUGGGGAGUUAUUAGUGUCAAAAGCUCUUAUUAUUAUUCAGUACUAAUACACAAAGGAUGGUCCUCGAUCUUGGUUUUAAAAUUUCUCAUACAAAUUCUAUUAAUCUUUUUUUCUUGUGCACCAAUUUUAAAAGUAUCUGUUGGUGUACAUUAUUACCUUACUCUUGGAAGCCCAUGCGCAUAAAAAAAAAAAAAAAUUUUUUUUUUUUGGAGCUCAGGCGUUCAACAGUAUCCUCGAAAGAAUUGAUUGUAUAAGAUCAGUAUUUUUGGAGUAGUACUUACGUAGACGAGAUAUAACCAGCAGAGCAGAGAAGAAACCAAAUAAAUAAGAUAAAGAAAUGAUAUAUAUAUAUAUAUAUAUAUGCAGAUAACGUUUCAGUAAUAGAAGGAUUUGAUUUAUUAAACGAUCACAAGAAAAAUUAACGUUAGAGAGUGAAAAUAUCAAGGCAACUAACGAGGUUGAUAAUUCCAUGUGCACUAGAUUCAUGAUUCUCGCAAGACAUAUUGGAAAAGGACGAGAGGGCACUGAUCGAUCGAUCGAGGAUGUUAAAUAGAAGCUAGCAAUUCCGAAAGAGAAGGCCUAUAAUGAUGAGAAGCGUCUGUCAAAUGAGCAAGGACGACUUGCCACCAUAUCAAAAUCAGAAAGGCUUUGAACGUACGCAGGCAGUAGGAGGCAAGUCAUCCUUGUUGGCGAUGAAACCAGAGUCUCCUCCCCAUUUUAGGCCAAUCAGAGUCUUUCUACCAAAAUGUUGAUCCAAUUAAGCCAGAAGAAGUACGUCUAUUUUCUGAACGCAAUUGAUCGAAUUGCUCAAUAUUCAAGACUGUACCUGAGGAGGCGAUUUUUGGUUGGUAACUAGACCGACCUGGAUCAGUCCUCUCUGAGAUGAAGUGAGGUGAACUCCUGUGUCCGAAGUGAACCUCCUUGUCCGAAGUGAGUGGCGGGGCUUCUCCCCUGGUAUCACUCCGACGAUCAAGUUAGUAUGAGAACGAGAAUAAUGAGAAUGAGUUAAUGAACAGUGUAUGCUUACUUGUUGGGAGUGUGAGUGAGGUAUUUAUAGAAGAGAGGUGGUCAAGACGGAAGGCUCAUGCUAGCGGGACCCACUCUCUGGCAUUACGGCUCUGUCUCCUGUCAGGAGGUCUGACUCUGACACUGUAGCCGCCUGGGAGUGAUGACGGAGGAUAUGGUGCAGGUGCCAUUAAGUGCCUCCAGUGCUUUUCAGAUAAAGUGCUGGUCCUGGAUGAUGUCAGGUGGGUUGACAUCAUCAGCGUGCAGCCGAGGUGGAUGUGCCGAGGUCACCUACACGAUGGACUAGGGAUGAAGCCGAGCUCUGGGGUUGUGCUCAAGACAGGGAUGAGCUCCGAUGAGGGACGAGACUUGUGUUCACCUCGGACACCCGCGUGUCCGAGGUGAGCAUCCUCAAUAAGCCCCCCAAGCCUCGGGAGCUUCGGGCCAGGGAGGUACCGAGACUUCCUUCUGCCGAAGUCGUGAAGAGUCAGUGUCCCGAGCCUGCUCCGGAAGGUGCGGGGACGUGACACGUGGGCAUGUCAGUUGAAGGGACCUGGAGAGUGAGUCGGCACGUAACCGUCACGUCGUGAAGUAGUGGGACGUUUCGUGCAGAGAGUGUCAGUUACAACGAGGACUCCAAGGAGUUGUGUGACCGGAUGGCUGAGGACCUCCAAGCUGGAAGGAACCUGGCCGAGGUCCUGGCCGAGUUCAACAAAUGGCUGUCCGAACUCGACGAAGUGUUCGAGGAGGUUGAAGAGGAAGAAACUGGAAGAGAGGAUGCCGAGGGAGACGAAGCCGGAGGGGGCGAAGCCGGAGGGGACGUCGGCAAAGAGCCUGGAGAUGAAGUUCACCCCGGCGGAAAGGAGACCGAAGAGAAAGAUGCCCAGGAGGGAGCCAAGACCGGGAUUGGAGCCGAUACGGGGAUGUAGGCUCGUAGGCUCUAAAGGGGUGGCCGAGGUGAAGAGUGUUUAGUAGCACUCUGACCUCGGCCUUGUAUUUUUUUUAACACUUCUGUUGAAUGAAAGUCUAUUUCUUCUCAUCUCAGCUCUUUAAUUUCUUGCUUUGCUUUGACUUCAUCCCUUGCUUGUCCCCCUUAUUUUUUGAUAGCGUAAUAACCCUAUUGUUCUCAGGUCGUUAGCCGAGGUGGUAAAACGGGCAGAUACCACCUUGAUUUAUAAUGGGCCGAGGUGGCCUUUCGGGAGGUGCCACUGAGUAAGGCCGAGGUGGCCCUGCGGGAGGUGCCGCUGAUUAAGGCCUAAGUGGCCCUGCGGGAGGUGCCACUGAGGAAGGCCUGCCACUGAUUAAGGCCGAGGUGGCCCUUCGGGAGGUGCCUGAGUAAGGCCGAGGUGGUAAAACGGGCAGAUACCACCUUGAUUUAUAAUGGGCCGAGGUGGCCUUUCGGGAGGUGCCACUGAGUAAGGCCGAGGUGGCCCUGCGGGAGGUGCCGCUGAUUAAGGCCUAAGUGGCCCUGCGGGAGGUGCCACUGAGGAAGGCCUGCCACUGAUUAAGGCCGAGGUGGCCCUUCGGGAGGUGCCGCUGAAUAAGGCCUAAGUGGCCCUGCGGGAGGUGCCACUGAUUAAGGCCGAGGUGGCCCUUCGGGAGGUGCCACUGAGGAAGGCCUGCCACUGAUUAAGGCCGAAGUGGCCCUUCGGGAGGUGCCGCUGAGUAAGGCCUAAGUGGCCCUGCGGGAGGUGCCGCUGAGGAAGGCCGAGGUCGGCCCCUGCGGCUCAGCUCGGCUGACUGAAUUUUUCCUCAGAACCAAGUCUCCAGGCUGGAAUUGAGCGGUGUCAGCUCAGCGUCCGAGGUGGACGAUCUUCCUUUCACUAUUCGAUCGAAAAUACUCCGGCGGUCCCGGAGUUGGGUUGAAGUGCCACUUGGGCCGGGUUCACCUCGGCCGAUGUCUCUCCUCCGGGGAUCUGGCCCCGUACGAGAUGCUUGGGCUUCUCGCUUCAUGCGAUUCACAUCUUCACUUCGGAUUCCCUGAUCCACUCUUUCCCAGAGUUCGUGAAGUGUACGGGGGUAAUCCCGAUGAAUUUCGGUGUUGAAAAGUCCGGCCACCAACCCGUUGGUAAAGGCCGCGAGAGUUACCUGCUCAUUCUGAUCAGGUAUUUGCACAUUCUCCUCGUUGAACCUCUGAGCAUACGAGCGAAGAGACUCGCCCUGACCCUGUUGAAGGUUCAAGAGAUAAACUGAAGUCUUCGUGAUUGGUCGAGACGACACGAAGCGGUGGAUGAACCGGUCUAUCAGCUCAUCCAGGGAGGAAAUGCUCCCCGGUUCCAAACUCCAGAACCACUUCCGGGCAGUCCCAUGUAGGAAAAUGGGGAAAGCCCGACAAAUCACGGCGUCGGGGACACAGUAGAGUCGGAAUGCGGAGAUGAAGGCGCGGAGGUGAUCCUCGGGGUCACCUCGGCCGUCAUAGGUGGGCAAGUUUGGGAGCUUGAAAUUCGGGGGCACCCUUUCCCCAUUGAUGUCAUCCGUAAAGGGCGGAGCCCUCAUGUAGUCCGAAGCCAGUCCCCCGGGGCGCCGAGGUAGGCCCUCAGCUCGCUUCCCUAGCAGUCCCCGGGAAAACGCCCGGGAGAUGGAGGCUAGCUUAGAAGUCGCCUUGGAGGAGGCACGCCUGGAGGUACUCCGAGAGAGACGCCCCUCAUCGGAGUCUUCACCUGAAGGUGCCUCAGGGGACUUCGUCGGCCUCCUCUUGGAAGACUCGGCCUUUUCUUUCCCCUGUCUUUUGAGGUACCUUCCUAGCUCCUCAAAAAUGGUUGGGUUGUGUGAUACGAACUCGGCCAUCUUGGCGAUGGCCUCCUCGUUGUUAGGCUGGGUCCUUGGGGACCCUUGCUCUUCAGAGAUGCGAUCUUGCUGGGCUCCCGAGGUCUGCCCAGCCCCAGUUGAGGGAACUCGACCACUUCUGGAGCGCGUGGAUCUCAUUUUAGUAAUAGUAGUCUCGUUCCCACAGACGGCGCCAAUUGAGGAGGUGAUUUUUGGUUGGUAACUAGACCGACCUGGAUCAGUUCUUUUUGAGAUGAAGUGAGGUGAACUCCUGUGUCCGAAGUGAACCUCCUUGUCCGAAGUGAGUGGCGGGGCUUCUCCCCUGGUAUCACUCCGACGAUCAAGUUAGUAUGAGAACGAGAAUAAUGAGAAUGAAUUAAUGAACAGUGUAUGCUUACUUGUUGGGAGCGUGUCUGGGGUAUUUAUAGAAGAGAGGUGAUCAAUACGGAAGGCUCAUGCUAGCGGGACCCACUCUCUGGCAUUACGGCUCUGUCUCCUGCCAGGAGGUCUGACUCUGACACUGUAGCCGCCUGGGAGUGAUGACGGAGGAUAUGGUGCAGGUGCCAUUAAGUGCCUCCAGUGCUUUUCAGAUAAAGUGCUGGUCCUGGAUGAUGUCAGGUGGGUUGACAUCAUCAGCGUGCAGCCGAGGUGGAUGUGCCGAGGUCACCUACACGGUGGACUAGGGAUGAAGCCGAGCUCUGGGGUUGUGCUCAAGACAGGGAUGAGCUCCGGUGAGGGACGAGACUUGUGUUCACCUCGGACACCCGCGUGUCCGAGGUGAGCAUCCUCAGUACCCUAAGAAGAAGACAAUAAAAAAAAAAAUGCAGGGCUUACGUGAAGCACAAGAGACAUAAAUUAACUAGUGGAGUGCUACGUAACUUGAAGCUGCAUGCCAAGCUACAGGUGAAGAGAGUGCUGCUUCAUGUGAGACCUCCCUUUCAAAUGGGAUUCCAUGAAAUUUUCUUGUGCUUCGAUGAUGAUCAGUUCAUUACAAGUUAUAUAUAUAUAUAGAGCUACAGAUCGAAAGGGAAGGUGGGGGUCGACGAUCUCGCAGUUUGAGCUCCCCUAACCGAGAUUUUCCUCAAUAAUUAUUAUCCAAUGAAAGAAUAUAUUCUACCUGUGCUACAGGAGAGGAGAGUAGGGGCCCCGACUUAUCUUCUUCAGUCUUCAUCUCUUACAACUUGAUACGAUGGGAGAACAGAAUUUCAACGUAAAGAUGCCCUUCGAUCACUUUCUUGCCUCUGCUGCCUCUCGUGAAACUUAGAUGUUGGCAACUUGCCCGGAAUCAAUUUCCCUACAAAUCAAAUGCUUAACAGAUUUGUUUCCCCCCCCCCCCCUUUUUUUUGUUGGAUUAAAGAGGAAAGUAAACGUUAUAAAGAGGAGUACAUAGUAACGCCACUGACACAACAUCUGCUAGGCGACUUAGAGUCAACAUUAAAAUUGUAAUCAACUCCCCAAUGUGCUAAGAAUCAGCACAAUCAAUCAACUCCCCAAGUGUUUUUACAAUAACAUCCCUAAAAAAAAUAUAUAUAUAUAUAUAUAUAUAUCCCCGAGUGCCAACUUUCACAUUUGAGUGACAUUUUUUCUUAAUAAGAAGAAAAACUACACUGAUAAUCAUAUGUAAAUUAUUUGCAAAUUCAAACUGAAAUUUCUUACGCCAAAAAAUUUAAAAAAAAACACUGAAAAUGCAGAAAUUUGUUAAUAGUAUACAUUCAUGUGAGUCUUGACAACAUUGCGUGUUAAUAUUAUCCAGAUUUUGGCUUUCAGAUAAUUUGUUCGUUUUUUUUUGUCAAAAAUAAAGAACAAAAGAAGGAAAAAGCAAAAUGUUAAUCAGUUUGUUCUCAUUUGCUAUAGUUAAAAGAUUAGACAACUGUUGUGGUUUUGGCGCGGUUGGUUCGAACUUUUCUUUCUUUCUCUUUUUUUUUUUUUUUCUUUUUCAUUAAAUUGAACAAACUUUUUUUUUUUCUUUCUAUAAGGGCCUUGCUGUAUGUUGUACACGAAAUUAAGGAACUAAAUUACUAGUAUUACUCAGUUUGUUUCGUUUAUCCUUAGUUGAGAUAUUCCUAGAUAGCAAAGUGAGGAGUAUUUUCAGUUGGAAAUCUAAAUUUUUUUUAACCCUCCCUACACCCUUUCCAUCCUUGCCACUACUACAGCUACCCAAAAUAUGAUCGAUCUUCUGAUCGAGAACACCAUUUCUUAUCAAGAUCGUUCUGAGUUCCCCUUGGUCUUCCUUGUACCAUUCUAAGAUGCAUCUACAUAUAUCUUAAUGUAUAAUUAGCAACAGCCUUCAAGACUUCAAUGGCUGAGUUGACAAAAGAUUGAAAGCUUGCUGCUUUUGUUGCCCUGCUGGUCUUCUAAGCUGGCCAGAAAGGGUGUCUUGACAAAAAUCAUCAAGAAGCCAGAAAAAAGUUCGUCAUCCCUUGGCAUAGCACCUCAUAAAUUAGUACACAAUGUCUGAAUUUUCUUCAGGCCUUAGGAGAGGAGUACUAAAAGCCAACCAAAAAGUCAUAAAUUUAACCGAUGGUUACUUGAUUCCUCGUCAGACUUACACAAGAGCAAUAGACGCUUUAUUGAUUUUCUCCGGGAAAACAGAUCACAUGUUUUUCAUGUUAUUCGAUUUGGAAUGAUAUUCCAUUAAGUCAGAGUUUGAGUCUUGCUGAUCAAAAUCGUCGACUAAGGUAUUUUUAAGGUUAUGGACAAGAAAAAAUACAGGCUAGUUUUUGCUUUGAUGUUGUAGAACUAAACUUGUACACUAGUUUUUCUUCAAGAAAGCCAAUGAGAUUAAAAUGGCACUGCCUUUAGAGAGAGUAACUAAGUACCAGGUUUCAGCAUUGUCAAGGAGUGAUGUACUGUUGUGACUAGAGCAUAUUUGUCUCUUUAGAGAAUAACAAGGAUUAAUUCCAUUUUGCAUCCUUCAACUAUACCCAAAUUCUUUAAAAAAAAAAAAAAAAGCCUAUACCCGAAUUCUUACUUUGAUACCUGAACUUCAAAUGGAAUGCUUUAGUCUCUAAAGUAUAAAAUUUGUCACAUUUUAGUUCAAAAGAAGAAAACCUAUCCUAUUUUAUUUCUUUAAAUACAAAGUCAGUCCACUUUAGUUCUUAAAUUAUAAAAUCUAUACAAUUAAAUAUAAAAUUUGUUCCAUUUCUCUCAACGAUUUUGCUUAAGUGGGACAAAUUUUAUGUUUUAGCGAUCAAGUUUUUAAUUUUAAAAUUUAGGGAUCGAUGUGUACAUCUCAUGUACUUGAGAGGUGGAAAGUGAAAUUAACCCAAAAAAAUAACGAUGCAAUCAUCAUCUGGCAAGUUGGUCGUGAGUACGUGACGUAGCGUUCAUAUAAAUAUGGUAACCUGAUUACAGCUAGUUCAGGAAGUCGCCCCAAAAAAGAAAAGAUGAACAAAUUAAUGAGCAUGUAUUUGAUAACUACAAGAAUCUGAUCCAAAGCGCAAAACAAAAUUACAGGUAGAGAAUGAAAACUUCCAUAUUUUAACUCAGCGCUCGAGAACUUUAUAUUCAUCGUUAAAGAAAAAACUUUAUAUUCAUCUAUCCAAAACCUAUAACAUCAAUGGAUUCUUUUUCUCUUAGUCCAGGAGGGGAUUACCGAAUCGGCUUGAUGGAGGGUGCCAGGUAGUAAAAAUUCUGAAAGAGAAUGCCAAGAAUGACGAGGAAAGCCUGUCAAGUAGCCCGGACGACUCGCCUGCAAAUCCAUUAAUGAAGAAUUUACACUUGUACAUGGAUGGAUCUUGAAGGAUGAAGAGGCAAGCCAUCCUUGGCUACGAAACAGGACUCUCAGCCCCAUUCCAGGCAUUUCUUUCUAUAAAAUGUUAACCUCGAAUUAUAUCGAAAAGGUAUACAAGUGCACUCUUGACUGAUAACGAUCCCGAUAACUCAACGGAAAAGGGGUCUUGCGUGAAGAAAAAGAGACAUAUUAGUCAAGUGGCCGCCAAGGCCAAACAGCACGAGGCUUCUUCACGUAAGACCUCACUUUGGAAUUAUUGAGUUGGUCUUUUUCUUGUAUAUAUGCUGAUGAUCGUCUGUUUCAAGUGUCUAUUUAUAGCGACAGAAAAUGAAAGAUGAGAGGCUUCGGAAUUAGAUGAUGCGCAAGUUAGAGCUAGCUUGCUUCCCUAGCCAAAGUAACUUUCUUCACUAUUAUUUUCGUGAAAGAAUAAAUUCUCUUCCUGUUUCAGGGGUGCAGAGGACCCCAACUUAUCUAGUACCUCAUGUUCGUACAGCUGAAAGAUGAUAGGAGAGCUAGCCGAAUUUCAACGUAAAAGUCCCAUUAAUUCGCACGUUUUGUUGGCAACUUGCACCGAAUCAUUGCAAUAAGUGCAAUGAAUUUCCUUUUCCAUAUCUGGUCAAUGUUCAGUAGAAUCAUUGCAAUUAGCGCAUGGCUUGAAACCUGGGACCUCUUCAAAACCCGAGCAGCCAAAUAAGAGCCGGGGGGGGGAGGGGGGGUGGGUUUUUUUGGUGUAACUUUUCUUCCUUCGGCUAGUUCACUAAGUAAUGUGUAGGAUCAAACCAUGAUAUUAUCUGCUGUCAAAUUCCCAGUCACCCAGUUAUAUAACUUCUCAAUGUCCUGGACAUAUUACUGGCACUUGCAAAGUCACACUAAAGCCUUUCUACCCAAGAAAAAGAAAACUAAAGCUUUUCUUUUUCUUUUCGCUUUUUCCACUAAAGUUCAUGUUAAGGAAGAAUUUCAGUUGAAGGAAGAAAAUUCAGCAAAGCAGUAGCGUUAACUCGGAUGGCAAAGUCGUUCAUUUUUUUAUUAUUUCGGUGAAAUGUCAGUCAUUUGUGAACUUUUGGAGUUUGGACUUUUUUUUUUUUUUUUUUGGUAAAUAAAGAUGCAUUAAAAAUAAAAUCAAGUCAACAGAGUGCAAAUUAAGGUACAGUCAUCCGUGGGGAGGAAACCCCCUUUAAGUCUUGCAAAAGUAAGGGAAGUACAAAAUUAGGACAUAAUUCAAAAAAAGUGAAGUCUUGAGUGUUGCUUCUUCCCCAGUUGGCAAGGAUGUCUGCACAUUUGUUUGCUUCUCUAUAAUUAUGGUGAAAACAUACUUUCUGGAAUGUAGUCAAUAGCUCCCUGCAAUCAAGAAUAAUAGGUGCAAGUUCAUGAGAAAUAAGAUUAUUUGACUUACACAAGGAGAAUAUAAAGGCAGAGUCCAUCUCCACUUCGAGAGAGUGGAUGUUGAGAUUUUUCGCAAGUUGUAAGCCUUCUCUAAGAGCCCAACAUUCAGCAGAAGGAACUGAACAGAAGCCUAAAUUUCUUGCAAAGCCCGCAAUCCAUAUCCCAUUUGAGUCACGAAUUAUGCCACCAGCUCCUGCCUGGUUUGUUGGUCCAGAGACUGAACCAUCAGUAUUGAGCUUGGCGAAACCUAUAGCAGGGGGGGAUCCAUCUGAUGAAUUUUUCUUGUCUAGGGGAUCUGGAGAUAUGAGAACCAGGCCCUAGUAGGUAAAAUUCAUGAGCAUGGUGAAGACAAAACUUGAUAGGAUCAUCAAUUUUGUUUUUUUGAAAGAUCUUGGCAUUGCGAGCUUGCCAGAGGCUCCAACAACCAAAGCUAAAAAUGGUUCCCCAAGGAAUAAGGUUGAAAGGGGAAGGAAUGUUGGACGAGCAUCCAUCCUUGAUCCAGGAAUAGAAAUCCGAGCUGGUUUGGAGGGAGUUUUGGGAGGGAUGGGUGAGUUUAAGCCAGAAGGAGGUUGCUUGGGGACAAGAUCUUAGUAUGUGAUUCGAAUCUUCAGAAGGAGCUUGACAAAAAGGGCAAGAGGCUUCGGAAAGAAUUGUGCGAUGUGUGAGAAGACUUUUUGAAGGGAGUCUAUCCUGGGAUGCUAGCCAAAGGAAAUGCUUGACUUUUGAGGAGGUAUUAACUUUCCAAAUCCAGCGAAAAUGGGAUGGAGCUCUAGAAUCAACUGGAAAUAAGGGAGGAUUUUUGCAAAGGUUAUAAGCAGAUUUCGAGUUGAAAACCCCAUUGCUGGAGUAAUUCCACCUAAAGAAAUCAUGGGAUGGAUUGAGCUCUUGUCUUGGUGUACCCUUGAUCUCCUUCACGAGCUGGAGAGGAAGCUGGAAGGAUAUUCUAUCAAGGUUCCAACUGGUGGGGGAGUGAAAAAGUUGAAAAACUCUUAAGUCCUCUUCCCCCUCAGUUAGAGGUCCUUGGAUCUGGCUUCUGAUAGAGCCUGAUUGAAGCCAUUUGUCUCCCCAAAAUCUGACUAAAUGCCCAUCUCUGAUAGACCAAAUUAAACCUUCAUUGAAGGUUUUGAUCCCAAUGUUGGAGUUUGGACUGUUGAAGCCUGUCGAUGCGGUUGGAUUUGCAACGUUGUGAGUUUGUUUGGACAAAGAUAAUUUGAUUUGCAAAAUUUAUUCUCACAAAUCCCAAUCACCUUUUUAUCUCACAUACAUCACAUCACAAAAAGUGCUACAGUAAAUAUCUCAAAUAAAUCAUCCAAAUAAACUCUUAUCCAAACAAACUCGUGCUUCUUUUUCUUUUUCUUUUUUCUUUACAUGCUUCGUUGAGAUUAUCAGAUAAAAUUCUCUUUAAUUUGCUUUUUUAAUUAGCUGGGUUGACUUUAGAUUAGACUAUACCCAACUUUACCCAGUGGGUCUGAACGUUCACAUAAGUGCUGCUAUGCCUGCAGUCCUUUGCAUAAAUAAAACUGACAAUACGAAUCACGUCUGUUUUCUUUUCUCUCUGCCUGCUUUAUCCACUGGAUUUUAUCCUAACUUUAGGUGGGCUUGAUUCGUAUUAGAUUGGAGCGAUAAUGAGAUGUAUUCGAUAUUCUGUACCAAUAAAGAAGGUUAUACUGCAACAAUAGACACCUCAGCUGAUCUCUCGUUUCUAUUUCCCUAAUUCAUGCUUCUAGACGUCGUUGACCUAUGGGGGCAUCCUGUCCUGUCCUGUCCAGUUAGUUUCCGGUUAAACCUCUCUGAUUCUAGCUCAAUCUUCAUGCAUUAUUAUUAAGUACGAUUGCAGCUUGGAGAAAGUUCUAUAACAAAUUCUCAGUCAUCAAGAUGAUUUUAACAAUUCACUUGAUAAAAUCAAGAAAAUUUUCUAAGAUUUUAGAUGGGGCAAAAUAGCGGUUGUAAAUGAAAUUACCAGAAGUCCUUCGGGGUUAAAAAGCAUUAGCCAAAACUUGGGGCCGGCUGCUACCAACUCCUGCCGCAGUGGAUGUGCCCUUUAUUUUGUGGUAACUGUCAGUUCUAGGAACGCUGGUCCCGCGGGCCUUGCCUCAAAUGACUCCUUCAUAUUGUUUUGAGCCGUCAUCAAUAGUUUGAUUCGCCAACCAACCCAUUAAUUGGGAUCGUUCAUGCCUGAAUUCCAGACAACCUCUAUGCCUGUCGACAUGCUUGCCAAGGUAGACGGAGAUGGAAUUCCUUCGAAGCACCGUAUCAGAAGAGUGUGACAGCAUCAUGCAGAGACAGCCGCGCCGAAAAUGCGAGUGGAACAAAUACCCAGCUUUAGCACUACUACAUGCAUUUGUCUCGAUCAAAAGAGUAGAGAUUUUACAGCAAUCCAACUCUGGUACUGAAUCUUCUAGUAUUACAAUUUUGAGUGCUUCUAUCUACCUUUCUAAUUCACAGCGUACAGAAGUAGAGCUAGUCAACUUUUAGCACUUGCUACUGAAUAGUUUCUAGGACUUUUUAGACAUUGUCAAGCAUCUGCUUAGUUGCUAUCCAGUUGGUAUUGGCACAGUUCUAUACAUUCUAGAACAAUACCGAGGCCAGAUUCAAAACCGCAAUGAUUCUUCUUCUUCUUCUUUUUUUUUUUGUUUUUUUCCUUUUUAGUGAUACACCAACGCUGUAUGUGCUAUAUACUACAUUACUAAGAACGGGCCCUGGAUUUGUCUUUGAGCAAUUCUACCACUCUUCUCAUGGAGGGCCUGUUCAUUGGAAGAGAUGAAACGCACUGAAGGGCGACGUCUAAGACCACCCUAAUCUCUUCAAGCUCAGAUGUUGAUGGUUUCAACCUUGCAUCUACAAGGUGAUCCAAAUAGUCAGCACAAAUUUUGGCACUAUCGUUGGCUAUUGGUUGUUCUGCAGAUGACAAUGCCACCUCCAUUACCCACUGUACGAUAUCUUUAUUCUCCCCAAAAGAGGGAUCGAUUGGCCGUUUACCAGUAAUCAGUUCCAACAGAACCACACCAAAGCUGUAUACAUCACUCUUCUCUGUGAUCUUCAGAGUGUAUGCAUAUUCUGCAGAAACAAGAAGACAGCAAAAGCAUGUUAGUUAGCCACCAUGGCUUCAGACUCAAAAGAUAAUCACAAUCAGGGAAAGAACAUUUUUUUUUUUUAAAUUUGAGAGAAUUAAUAUCACGAUUACAUUAAUCGGCAAUCUAGCAUUAAUUUCUAACAAUCUCCUUAAUAACUAAUAUGCACCCCGAGGGCAAAGAUGAAGUAUGUCUACUUGAUGUGUUCCUUUUCCUUUCAUUCCAAGCACAAGUAAACCUAAAAACAGCUUGAAACCUAUAAUCAGAGUAUAUAACUGGUCUUGCUCCCUUCAGUAGAAGUUCAUGUCCAGCGAAGGAAAGCUAAUAACAACAAAAUGGCAUUCGAUAAAUAUAGUUCAACAUACAUUUUUACAAUAAAUAAAUAAAUGGUUUUUAACCCAGUCACUCUAACUGGAUGGAGUUGAAGCCUUCAAGACAAAAGAAAGGAGGUUUGAGAUAAACACACCAAAUACAAACUUGACUAAACCCCGGUCAAACUAAGCUCAGUGUCGCUACUAAUUCAACUAAAAUCAACUUUCUUUCAGCAAGAAUUGGUUCAAAGCCAAUUCAUAUCUUCCACUUCAAAACAAUGGGCUAAAGUUGCUAGAAUAAGACUAUCUUCCCACCAAUCUUAGUCAUAGACUAGUUCCCUCAUGCGAUUUUCCAACUGGAGCAAUUGUUUAUGUGUAAUCACGAUUACGGGUGAAUAGAGAAUUUUUAAUCUUUGUUUUUGUAGUAUACAAUUGUAUCUUACUAUUUGUUGUCCUUGGAACAGAAACUAGAUAUCUCCAAGCUCCUGUGUCUCUUUUUUUGGUCUUGCAGUCAAAUUCGCUUUUGGCCACAGACAAGUACAUGCAACCUGAUUUGAAGCGAUGUCGCAACAAAGACAAAGUGACAAAACCAUCCGUAAACAUGAGGCAACUCUCAAUUCCAAUCAAAUGGAGAACUCAAAGCCUAAAACUAGUCAAAUUAAGAACUGAGAGCCUAACACCAUAUGCCGCUUGCUUGCUGGAACAAAAUCAAGAAUAGCCAUCCCCACUCUACACCCAUAAUACCCUAAUAAAAACAUAAUUGCUGCAGGGGAAACUAAAAAGAAUUACAUUAAGCCAAAUCUAUCAUAUUAAUGAAUGAAACAAUUGAUAAUUACUACAAAUAAAAGGCCAUAAUAUAGACAGAAAAGUUAUGCCUCACCUGGAGCAAUAUAGCCGUAGGAGCCAGCAAUCUGAGACAUGAGUUGGCCACCCUCCUCCAUAUUUUUAUGCAGAGUUUUUGCCAAACCAAAAUCAGCGACCUUUGGCCUGAAUUCCUCAUCCAACAAUAUGUUGUUAGACUUCACAUCCCUAUGAACAAUUGCGGGUACGCAAUCAUGGUGCAAAUAGGCCAGUCCUUGAGCAGCCCCAAUUGCAAUCUUGAACCUCGUAUGCCAAUCCAACAAUACCCCACCUUUCUCUCCGUGUAGUACAUCCCCCAAGCUCCCAUUCUCCAUGUAAUCGUACACUAAUAUCCUAAAGUUGUCUCCAGAGCAACUGAACAACAACUUCACUAUGCAACCAUGCUUGAUUCUGCCCAAAGUCUCCACCUCUGAUUGGAACACCUCUUCAGAUUCUGGUCCACGGUUAGCAUCCCAGAGUCUCUUGACCGCGACUGUCGGCCCGUUCUUCAACAUGACACGAUAAACUUGGCCCGACCCGCCUGUUGCAAUGAGAUUAUCUUGACUCAGAAAGGCAACAAUAUCUUCCUCGUUGAACCACAGUCGCUGAAAUGCAGUCAUUUUCCAUGAUUUUUUGCCCCGACCUGCAAAUAAAUUUAGCUUCUUUGACUUGAUCAAUAGCCAUAGAAAUGAUACGACGAGUAUUCCUGACAAGGCUGAUAAAAUUCCCACCAAAACCAAGCUUAUGGGUCUUCUUUUCUGGCAUGAAGGGAGAGGUUUAAGAUCAGGACUGCACAAAUCCGAAUUGCCCACUAAGCUUGAAAUGAAAAUUUCAUUGUCGAAUGCACUAGGUACUCUGCCCUGAAGCCUAUUAUUUGAUAAAUUGAACUUAUUGAGCUUGAGUUUUGACAAAUCCGAAGGAAUCUCACCAGAAAGUAAAUUCUCGGAAAGAUCUAAGUAUGUCAAAUCAGGCAACUCCCCGAGCUCAGCUGGAAUUGUACCAGAAAAUUGAUUGCCAGAUAAGUUCAAUUCUGUUAAAUCAGUCCAAGUGGUAACAGAGGUCGGGAUUUCACCUGUGAUUGAGUUUUCUUGGACAUCAAGCUUGAGUAACUUGUUCAAUUUGGUUAUGCACGAGGGCAGUUUGCCUGAGAACCGGUUGCUGCUAAUGUCUAUAAUUUGAAGCUGUUCCAACUCGCAUAUUCCCUCCGGCAACUGACCAGAAAAGCUGUUGCCCGAUAUCAAAAAUCCUGUUAGAUUACGGGCAUUUGAAACCGUAGGAGGAAUUUCACCCUCUAGUCUAUUGUUUCGGAGUUCAAAAAUCGUAAGCCCAGGAAAACUCCAGAAACUAGGAGGUACAACUCCAGACAGCUCAUAACUGGAAAUCCGGACGUACGUUAACGAACUGCACUCACCAUACGACUCAGGGAUUGGACCAGAAAAGUUAUUGUUAAACAAAACUAAUCUGUCUAGCUGCUUCUUGAAACAAAGAUUUGGAGGCAAAGGCCCUUCUAGAAAAUUCCCAGAUACAUCAAAAUCUUCCAAGCCUGAAUUCCUUCCCAAAUUAACCGGUAAAUUGCCGGAUAAUCUGUUAUUAAAGAGCUUGAGCUGAUAAAGAUAAGGAUUUAGAGCUAAAUUUUCUGGGAUUUGGCCUUCCAAAUUGUUGUCAUUGAGAUUGAAGGAUUGCAGAGCUAAACCGGUUAGACUUUCUGGUAUUCUUCCGGUGAGAUUGUUCGAUGAAGCAUCGAAAUUAUAUAAAGAAGUCAGGUUCGAAAAUGUAUCUGGAAUUUCACCGGAGAGUUGGUUUGCAUAGAGCUCUAUCUGUUCGACAGCAAUUAGUCCUCCGAUACUUUCUGGGAUCUUUCCAGUGAGGUUGUUGACGGAGAGGUCGAGGUUUUUAAGAGAUUUGAGGUUUCCAAUUGAUUCUGGGAUUGAACCAAUUAUUUUUGAAAAUGGAAACCAGAGAUUUUCGAGUUUGGUGAGGCGGCCUAUGUCGGCCGGAAGUGGGCUUGGGCCGAAAUUGUUGGCAGCGAUUUCUAGACGAGUUAACUCGGUGAGAUUGGUUAAGAAAUCCGGGAUAGACCCGUUGAGUAAGUUGGAGAGAAGACGGAGAACCUGAAGGUUGGGUAAGCGGGAACCGUAACUCGCCGGAAUCUCACCGGAGAAAUUGUUAACUGACAGGUCGAAGGUGGUGAGGUUGAGGAACAGAGUUUGAAGCUCCGGCAGCCCGCCAACGAACAAGUUGGAGGACAGAUUGAGGAAUUGCAGGUGGGAGCAGAGAGUGAGCGCUUCAGGUGAGAGGGUUCCGUUGAAGUUGUUAUCGGAAAGGUCCAGAAAGCGGAGAGUCUGAAUCCGGCAAAAGUCCGCCGGAAAAUAGCCUGAGAUGCUGAAGCUGGUGAGAUUAACGGAAACGACAUCGUUAGUUUGGUUGUCACAACCAAUGCCAGUCCAGUUGCAGGGAGCAUUGGGUGCGGACUGCUGCCAAUCAGCGAGCAGACCAC